GUUGCACAUUAUUAAAACCCAGCACUGAUAUCGGUGUUUGGGUGUCGGAAAUGUGCUAGAGUGAAUUGGCUGGGUUUUCGCUAACACCAUGAGGGCUCUUUGUCCCAUGACUGGGGUUUGAUAGUGACCUGAGCCACAAAU